UGCACGUCGCAACGAGGCUUUGGUAGCAAUGCAUCAUACUCGUAGGCGAACGGGUGCGUAACACGUGGAUAACCUUCCUUCAGGUGGGGAAUAACCCAGUGAAAAUUGGGCUAAUACCGCAUAACAUCGCGAUGGCACAUGCUGUUGCGUUCAAAGCCGCAAGGCGCCAGAAGAGGGAUCCGCGGCCGAUUAGCUUGUUGGCGAGGUAAUGGCUCACCAAGGCUUUGAUCGGUAUCCGGACUGAGAGGUUGGCCGGACACACUGGAACUGAGACACGGUCCAGACUCCUACGGGAGGCAGCAGUGGGGAAUCUUGCACAAUGGACGAAAGUCUGAUGCAGCAACGCCGCGUGGGGGAUGAAGCUUCUCGGAGUGUAAACCCCUUUCGACCUGGACGAAUACCCGCAAGGGUUUGACGGUACAGGUAUAAGAAGCCCCGGCUAACUACGUGCCAGCAGCCGCGGUAAUACGUAGGGGGCCAGCGUUGCUCGGAAUUACUGGGCGUAAAGGGUCCGUAGGCGGUGUGGUAAGUCGAUAGUGAAAUCUCUGGGCUUAACCCAGAGGCUGCUAACGAAACUACCAUGCUAGAGUGUGAGAGAGGCGAGUGGAAUUACGGGUGUAGCGGUGAAAUGCGUAGAUAUCCGUAGGAACAUCCGAGGCGAAAGCGGCUCGCUGGAUCACAACUGACGCUGAGGGACGAAAGCUAGGGGAGCAAACAGGAUUAGAUACCCUGGUAGUCCGUAGCCCUAAACCAUCAGGACUUGGGGUUUGCCCUGUACGGGGCAAGUCCCGUAGCUAACGCGUUAAGUCCUGCGCCUGGGGAGUACGGUCGCAAGGCUGAAAUUCAAAGGAAUUGACGGGGGCCCGCACAAGCGGUGGAACAUGUGGUUCAAUUCGACGCAACGCGAA
rnacentral:rRNA from 1 species